UACAGAGGGUGCAAGCGUUAAUCGGAAUCACUGGGCGUAAAGGGUGCGUAGGUGGACUAUUAAGUGUGGUGUGAAAUCCCUGGGCUUAACCUGGGAAUGGCACGGCAACUGGUGGUCUGGAGUACAGGAGAGGUAAGUGGAAUUCCCGGUGUAGCGGUGAAAUGCGUAGAGAUCGGGAGGAACAUCUGUGGCGAAGGCGGCUUACUGGCCUGAUACUGACACUGAGGCACGAAAGCGUGGGGAGCAAACAGG
rnacentral:rRNA from 1 species